GACGGAGAAUGCAAGCGUUAUCCGGAAUGAUUGGGCGUAAAGCGUUCGCAGGUGGCUGUUCAAGUCUGCUGUCAAAGACCGGGGCUUAACCCUAGAAAGGCAGUGGAAACUGGACGGCUGGAGUGCAGUAAGGGUAGAGGGAAUUCCCAGUGCAGCGGUGAAAUGCUUAGAGAUUGGGAACAACACCGGUGGCGAAAGCGCUCUGCUGGACUGCAACUGACACUGAGUGACGAAAGCUAGGGGAUCUAAAGGG
rnacentral:rRNA from 1 species